AACCGGAUUGAUAACUGGAUGGUUUGAUCGGUGUUCAGUCCCUUUCUGUCUUUUAAGUAUUCGGGAUAUCAACGUCAAGGAACUCUUCUUACACGGUGUGUGGCCAACUCCACCCGCAGACCGUUUAUUUUCCUUCGACAGUC
rnacentral:snoRNA from 1 species